CUCCUGAGAAAUGUUUGCAAUUGUAAGGUGUCUCUCUCACCCAGGUUUACCCGCAUUCGCAAACUAUGGCGACAAACAACCACAGCAGAAGCAUGUCCAGAUUCUUUCAGAUAUAUUACAAAAUCCUGCAAAGGGGAUGGCUAAUCCAGAGGAUAAGAAGCUCAGAAAAAUACUGGAAUAAGACUGUAAGAGAGAAUCCGUGAUUUGAGGACCAAGAAAGACCAUGAGAGCUGAAAGGCAUUGUAUGGCCCUGAUUCCAAUCAGAACUCUGCUAACAAGUAGCUUCCGUUCCCGAAGCUUAAUAUUAACAAUAUUAACUGUCUCAAAUAAUUUUGCACCUGUUCACUUUUCCUCACAAUUAUAUUAAAAUCAACUUGCAUACCUGG